rnacentral:rRNA from 1 species
ACGCAAUCUUCUGCCCUCCUAUCGUUCACUCCUCGCCUUCUACGCCGCCGCUCCUCCCUUGCUCGCCCCCAUCCCUCUCCUCGACAUGUUGUGCGGCAACGAUCCCGUUGACGAUGGAGGCUCUGCCCAGAUCAACUGGUCGUGUGAUGUGGGGGAUCUAGGGCGGGCUACUGGAGAAGGUGGGCAAGAGGAGAUGCAGGGUGACCUUGCGAAAGAGGGCGGGCAGACUGGGUGGCGGCAUACCCAGUCGACACGAUGCUGUCGGGGGAGAGGAUCUUGCCGCCGGCAACCAGCCUCGCCGCAUUUGGCCUCCCCAGGUACCCACACCCCUGUAGCCCCCUGAUUUUCCUCCUACCCCCUCCCUCCCCACUCCCGUUCGAAAUCGAAAUCAAAGAGAGGCAAAGCAAAUCGCACCAUGCAAAACACAGAGAGCGCCGCCAUUUCCAUCUUCCGGCGAACUCCAAAAGCGAGCGAGCGAUUCCCAUGAGAGGAGAGGAGGCGGAGAUGGCCAAGGGCGAGGGGCCGGCGAUCGGCAUCGACCUCGGGAUGACCUACUCCUGCGUCGGCGUCUGGCAGCAUGACCGAGUUGAGAUCAUCGCCAACGACCAGGGCAACCGCACCACGCCCUCCUACGUCAACUUCACCGACACCGAGCGCCUCAUCGGCGACGCCGCCAAGAACCAGGUCGCCAUGAACCCCACAAACACCGUCUUCGAUUUAGAUGCACUUGCGGAGUAAUGACAUACAUGGAGAAAUUAAUCAACCGGAUGUUGCAGCAGUCAACCAAAAUUUGCUCCAUCAAGCACGACGAGGACAAACAUCAUCCGCAGCAAGCACAUACGAUAGUUGUCAUGUAACAAACACCACUGCCUCGCUUCUCAUACGACUGAAACAUGAUCUCCAAAUGCAAUGUUGGAACACCUGGCGGAAUUCAGUACUUUGGAGAGCUUGAAAAGCAUUGUUAUUGGGGCAAUGAGCGCCAUGCUGAUGCAUGCCUACACAAUUUAUGGCUUACUGAAUGGUAUGGUAGCUUUGUAGGAUAUGUCUCAGAAUGCACCAUGCCAAGAACUGGUAGACAUUUUCCUCACAUAUUUCAUGGUGAUUUUACAAUUUGAGCAUUUGGCUUGAAUAUUCUUUAAACUUUCCGUCCUUGUGUUCUUAUUGUUUUGGUGUAGCACUUCAUGUCACAAUUGAAUGUUGAAUUCUUACCAUUGCAUAACUUGCAGUAUAUGUUGAUUCAUUACUUAAUGAGUAGUAUGAACUCUCUCCUUUUUGGUUCUAUCUCAUGCCUUCCAGUGUUUUCUGUUUCACACGCCCUAAUCUCUUUGUGUUCAAUGUCAGUUAUUUAGCUCUUUUGAAAUUUGUAGUGCAACUUCUUACUUGCCAUGUCCAUGUAUUACAAGAUAGUAAGAAAGCAAGUGGAAUGGACGUUUGCCAACCUUGCAACGCCCAGCUUCCUCUCAAGAGGCGGCACAUUGUGCCGCCCCAACCCCUAGUAUGAUGCAUACUACGGAGGCCAGUGCAAGAAACUGUAUGUUCUCGCUACAGGUCUCACUAUUGCAUGAUCAUUUCAUUGGUAUGGCGGUGACUUUAUGGGCAAUCUGGACGGCUAGGCGCAAAGCUAACCAUGAAGAUGAUUUUCAAUCUCCUCUUGCGGUACAUUUAUUCAUUACGAUAUUUCUAAUGGGUCUUGAAUCAUCACAGACCAAAAGUCCCUUAGGGUGCAACAUAGGAGGCCAUGGGUGACACCUCCUACAAAUUUUGUGAAAUUAAAUGUGGAUGGAGUUGUUGCUCGGAAUGGACGCAAGCGGCGGUGGGAGUCGUGUGCCGGGACCACUUGGGAGGUUUCCUAGGCUCUUCGGAUAUGGCUUUUAAUCACAUUGUUGAUCACACCACGUUAUAGGCCCUUGCUUGCAGAGAGGCACUAACACUCAACGUUUGAUUUGAAGCUUCAUCAUCUUUAUAUGUUUCAUGUGAUUGUCAAGGGGUGGUGAAAUAUAUAGCAGGAGGAGGUCUACAUGGUGCAAUUAUCAAAGAGAUUUUGCUGAGCAGAACUGACUUUGAAGCUUGUAAUUUUAUUCAUGAGGGUAGAAGUAGUAAUUUUUAGGCUCAUUAUCUGGCUAAGCAUGCAAUGACAGUAUAUGUUGGCCGCCACAUUUGGUUGGGAGUGCCACAUGAUCUUGUAAUGGUGCCUACGAACAUUGUUGAGUAAUAAAGUGAGGUGAAGUU